AUUGAACGCUGGCGGCAGGCCUAACACAUGCAAGUCGAACGAGUGGCGGACGGGUGAGUAAUGUCUGGGAAACUGCCUGAUGGAGGGGGAUAACUACUGGAAACGGUAGCUAAUACCGCAUACCAUCAGAUGUGCCCAGAUGGGAUUAGCUAGUUGGGGGGGUAACGGCUCACCAAGGCGACGAUCCCUAGCUGGUCUGAGAGGAUGACCAGCAACACGGGAACGGAGACACGGGCCAGACGCCUACGGGAGGCAGCAGUGGGUAUUAUUGCACAAGGGGAGCAAGCCGGAGGCAGCCAUGCCGCGUGUAUGAAGAAGGCCUUCGGGUUGUAAAGUACUUUCAGCGGGGAGGCGUUACCCGCAGAAGAAGCACCGGCGAACUCCGUGCCAGCAGCCGCGGUAAUC
rnacentral:rRNA from 1 species